CAGAGCAAGACUUCAUCUCAAAAAAAAAAAAAAAGAAAAAGGAAAAAAAAAAAGGCCAGGUGCAGUGGCUCACGCCUGUAAUCCCAGCACUUUAAGAGGCCGAGGUGGGCGGAUCACCUGAGGUCAGGAGUUCGAGAUCAGCCUGGCCAAAAUGAGAAACCCCAUCUUCAGUAAAAAUACAAAAUUAGCUGGGCGUGGAGGCGGGCGCCUAUAAUCCCAGCUACGCAGGAGGCUGAGGCAGGAGAAUCGCUUGAACCUGGGAGGCAGAGGUUGCGGUAAGUCAAGAUUGUGCCACUGUACUCCAGC
rnacentral:lncRNA from 1 species